ensembl:lncRNA
AUGGGCAGCUCCUGCCUGACCAACCUUCCUGCUUUUUAUAAUGGUGUGUCAGUGGACAAGGGAGGCAGCACUGAUGUCAUCUAUCCAGACUUCAGUAAGGCCUUUCACAUGGUCUCUUUCCCACCACUCUUUCCCCAUAACAUCUUUCUUUCCAAAUUGGAAACAUAUGGAUUAGAUGGUUGAAUUCUUUGAUAGAUGAGGAAUUGGUUGCAAUAUUGUACCCAGUGAGGGAUGGUCAAUGACUCAGUGUCCACACGGAGAUUGGUGAAAAGUGGUGUCCCUCAGGGGUCAGUGACUGGUGCUCUUUAAGAAAGAUCUUCAUCAGUGAUGUUGACAGUGGGAUUGAAUACACACUCAGCAAGUCUGUGGAUAACAGCAAGCUUUGUGGUGUGGUUGGCAUGCUCAAGGGGCGGGAUGCCAUCCAGAUAGACCUAGACAGGCCUGGUAAGUGGGCCCAGGAGGACCUUCUGAGUUCCAGCAAAGCCAAGUGCAAGGUCUUGCACACAGGUCCUGGUAACCCCCCACUGAGUACAAGCUGAGGGAAGUAAGGAUGGAGCACAGCCCUGCUCAAAGGGGUUUGGGGGUACUGGUGGAUGGCAGGGCUGGAAAGGAUAUCGCUGUCUUUUCCUCUGUCCUCAUUCCCAGAGCAUUACAGGUACAUAAUUACAGGUUCAGCCCAAUUGAGACCCAGUCAUCGAGUAGUAAGCUAAAUGGAUGUUGUGUUUUGGUGAUUUUUGUUGUCAGUAUUCCACAUCAGAACAUCACAUGAACCAGUGGAAGUUAAAGAGUUAAUGUUCUGGUUCCGUUUACUGCCUGUUAUGGGCAUUUUGGGUAUUCUGAUGGGAGGGGAGGGGCAGAAUCCCAGAGGACUUGGCGCCAAGAGGAAGUGAGGUGGAGCUCCGGACAGGAUCUUGGUCAUCUCUGCCUCCCUCGGGGCCGGCUCAGAUCACUGCGGAGGAGGGCACGUGCUUCCCUCGCACUUUGGGUACCCUUCUGUCUCUGAUUUUGUUUGAUUUGGCUGGAUUUAGUAAAUUACCGUUCCUCC